rnacentral:rRNA from 1 species
UACGGAGGGGGCUAGCGUUGUUCGGAAUUACUGGGCGUAAAGCGCGCGUAGGCGGAUCUGCAAGUCAGGGGUGAAAUCCUGGAGCUCAACUCCAGAACUGCCUUUGAUACUGAGGAUCUUGAGUCCGGGAGAGGUGAGUGGAACUGCGAGUGUAGAGGUGAAAUUCGUAGAUAUUCGCAAGAACACCAGUGGCGAAGGCGGCUCACUGGCCCGGUACUGACGCUGAGGCACGAAAGCGUGGGGAGCAAACAGG